GUUCUUUCAGCAGUCUCAUUCAGUGUUUCACCCUACUGCAGCCGAAACACAGGAAAGCAACGGAAACAUGUGGAAUCCUGCAGUUAAAAUUCAGAAAAUCACCACAGGGGAAACUUUUGGUGCAGAUGCAGU